rnacentral:lncRNA from 1 species
UUCUUCAUCUUAUUUUCUCUGUCUAUAACCACAGGGAAAUGCAGGGCCAAAAGGUUUUCCAUGGCCUAAAGGAUGCAAAGGCAAUAAAGGUGCAAAAGGCAAAAAUGGUCCAAGUGGUGAAUCUGGAAAACGAGGCUCCGCUGGUCCUGUUGGUCUCCCAGGCCCCAGAGGAGUUGUUGGUCGUGAGGGUCUUGAGGGUGAUCCUGGGGUAGAAGGAGCCCUUGGGAAAGAUGGAGUUAAAGGAAUGCCAGGUGAGCAUGGAAGUGAUGGGCAGGUUGGUCCGCCUGGAAAACCAGGUCCUCAAGGAAACACAGGUGUACCAGGUCUGCCAGGAAUUCAAGGCUCUUUUGGGCCAAAGGGUGAAAGGGGCAUCCCUGGCCAAACUGGACCUCCAGGCAAAAGAGGAUUUAAUGGGGGAAUGGGAUUUCUUGGAAAACAGGGUGACCGAGGGGUCAAAGGGCAA